CAAAAAAACACAAAAAACAACACACAGAAAAGAAAGAAGACAAAGAAGAAAAAAGAGCGAAAGUCUUCGAGAGGCUAAUUCGGCUGCUUCGAGAGGUGCGAAUUUU
rnacentral:ribozyme from 15 species